GGGGGGCACAGUAGGGAAUCUUCGGCAAUGGGGGCAACCCUGACCGAGCAACGCCGCGUGAGUGAAGAAGGUUUUCGGAUCGUAAAGCUCUGUUGUAAGUCAAGAACGGGUGUGAGAGUGGAAAGUUCACACUGUGACGGUAGCUUACCAGAAAGGGACGGCUAACUACGUGCCAGCAGCCGCGGUAAUACGUAGGUCCCGAGCGUUGUCCGGAUUUAUUGGGCGUAAAGCGAGCGCAGGCGGUUUGAUAAGUCUGAAGUUAAAGGCUGUGGCUCAACCAUAGUUCGCUUUGGAAACUGUCAAACUUGAGUGCAGAAGGGGAGAGUGGAAUUCCAUGUGUAGCGGUGAAAUGCGUAGAUAUAUGGAGGAACACCGGUGGCGAAAGCGGCUCUCUGGUCUGUAACUGACGCUGAGGCUCGAAAGCGUGGGGAGCGAACAGGAUUAGAUACCCUGGUAGUCCACGCCGUAAACGAUGAGUGCUAGGUGUUGGAUCCUUUCCGGGAUUCAGUGCCGCAGCUAACGCAUAAGCACUCCGCCUGG
rnacentral:rRNA from 1 species